AAAAGAAUAAAUUUGGGCCACUAUAACAAAAGAACGAGUGCUGUUGAGGUCUCGUACGUAUUCGUGUCCAACACGAAAAGCAAAGAAAAGAAAAAGAAAAUAAGAACAAAAGUACGGUGGAGAGUGGUGAAGCAGAGCGACAAUUGAAGUGAGAGAAAGAAAGAAAACAGUUGAUACCGACUACCGAGUAAGAAGAGAAAUCCGAGCUUCGAAUUUACAAUGGAUGUGAUAAAGACGCAGCAAAU
rnacentral:lncRNA from 1 species